CAGUAGCCGCGGUAAUACAGAGGGUGCGAGCGUUAAUCGGAUUUACUGGGCGUAAAGCGUGCGUAGGCGGUUUCUUAAGUCGGAUGUGAAAUCCCUGAGCUUAACUUAGGAAUUGCAUUCGAUACUGGGAAGCUAGAGUAUGGGAGAGGAUGGUAGAAUUCCAGGUGUAGCGGUGAAAUGCGUAGAGAUCUGGAGGAAUACCGAUGGCGAAGGCAGCCAUCUGGCCUAAUACUGACGCUGAGGUACGAAAGCAUGGGGAGCAAACAGGAUUAGAUACCCGAGUAGUCCCUGUCUCUUAUAC
rnacentral:rRNA from 1 species